CAGUGUGAUGGAAUCCAGGGGAACCUGCGCCAGACUGACCAGAAAAAGAUGUUGCAAACAAACGUCCACUACUGUCUGGAA